rnacentral:tRNA from 1 species
UCCCGGUAGAGCAAUGAAUAGCGCGUUGGACUUCUAAUCCAAAGGUCGUGGGUUUGAAUCCCACCUGGAAAG